rnacentral:rRNA from 1 species
AACAGGAUUAGAUACCCUGGUAGUCCACGCCGUAAACGGUGGGCGCUAGGUGUGGGGACUGGUUCCACGGUUUCCGUGCCGUAGCUAACGCAUUAAGCGCCCCGCCUGGGGAGUACGGCCGCAAGGCUAAAACUCAAUGGAAUUGACGGGGGCCCGCACAAGCGGCGGAGCAUGUGGAUUAAUUCGAUGCAACGCGAAGAACCUUACCUGGGUUUGACGUGCACUGGAUCGCCCUAGAGAUAGGGUUUCCCUUGUGGCUGGUGCACAGGUGGUGCAUGGCUGUCGUCAGCUCGUGUCGUGAGAUGUUGGGUUAAGUCCCGCAACGAGCGCAACCCUUGCCCCAUGUUGCCAGCGGUUCGGCCGGGGACUCGUGGGGGACUGCCGGGGUCAACUCGGAGGAAGGUGGGGAUGACGUCAAGUCAUCAUGCCCCUUAUGCCCAGGGCUUCACACAUGCUACAAUGGCCGGUACAGAGGGUGGCGAGACCGUGAGGUGGAGCGAAUCCCAGAAAGCCGGUCUCAGUUCGGAUCGGGGUCUGCAACUCGACCCCGUGAAGUCGGAGUCGCUAGUAAUCGCAGAUCAGCAAUGCUGCGGUGAAUACGUUCCCGGGCCUUGUACACACCGCCCGCCACGUCAUGAAAGUCGGUAACACCCGAAGCCCAUGGCCCAACCCCCGUGUGGGGGAGGGAGUGGUCGAAGGUGGGACUGGCGAUUGGGACGAAGUCGUAACAAGGUAACC